AUGAACGCUGGCGGCAGGCCUAACACAUGCAAGUCGAACGGAGUUAUAUUGUAGCUUGCUAUGGUAUAACUUAGUGGCAGACGGGUGAGUAAUGUAUAGGAAUCUACCUAGUAGUACGGAAUAAUUGUUGGAAACGGCAACUAAUACCGUAUACGCCCUACGGGGGAAAAAUUUAUUGCUAUUAGAUGAGCCUAUAUUAGAUUAGCUAGUUGGUGGAGUAAUAGCCUACCAAGGCAAUGAUCUAUAGCUGAUCUGAGAGGAUGAUCAGCCACACUGGAACUGAGAUACGGUCCAGACUCCUACGGGAGGCAGCAGUGGGGAAUAUUGGACAAUGGGCGAAAGCCUGAUCCAGCCAUGCCGCAUGAGUGAAGAAGGCCUUUGGGUUGUAAAGCUCUUUUAGUGAGGAAGAUAAUGACGGUACUCACAGAAGAAGUCCUGGCUAACUCCGUGCCAGCAGCCGCGGUAAUACGGAGGGGGCUAGCGUUAUUCGGAAUUAUUGGGCGUAAAGGGCGCGUAGGCGGAUUAGUAAGUUAAAAGUGAAAUCCCAAGGCUCAACCUUGGAAUUGCUUUUAAAACUGCUAAUCUAGAGAUUGAGAGAGGAUAGAGGAAUUCCUAGUGUAGAG
rnacentral:rRNA from 1 species